AGCGCCCUCCUUGCGGUUAGGCUACCUACUUCUGGCAGAACCCGCUCCCAUGGUGUGACGGGCGGUGUGUACAAGACCCGGGAACGUAUUCACCGUGACAUGCUGAUCCACGAUUACUAGCGAUUCCGACUUCAUGCAGGCGAGUUGCAGCCUGCACUCCGGACUACGACUGGCUUUGUGGGAUUUGCUCCCCCUCGCGGGUUUGCUGCUUUCUGUACCGGCCAUUGUAGCACGUGUGUAGCCCAGGGCAUAAGGGGCAUGAUGAUUUGACGUCAUCCCCACCUUCCUCCGAGUUCACCUCGGCAGUCUCGCUAGAGUGCCCUACUUAAUGCUGGCAACUAACAAUAGGGGUUGCGCUCGUUGCGGGACUUAACCCAACAUCUCACGACACGAGCUGACGACAACCAUGCACCACCUGUCUCAGAGUUCCCCGAAGGGCACUCCCAUCUUUCAAUAGGAUUCUCUGGAUGUCAAGCCCUGGUAAGGUUCUUCGCGUUGCUUCGAAUUAAACCACAUGCUCCGCUGCUUGUGCGGGCCCCCGUCAAUUCCUUUGAGUUUUAAUCUUGCGAUCGUACUUCCCAGGCGGAGUACUUAUUGUGUUAACUGCGGCACAGAGGGCUUCGCCCCCCACACCUAGUACUCAUAGUUUACAGCGUGGACUACCAGGGUAUCUAAUCCUGUUUGCUCCCCACGCUUUCAUGCCUCAGCGUCAGUUACAGUCCAGAAAGUCGCCUUCGCCACUGGUGUUCCUCCCAAUCUCUACGCAUUUCACCGCUACACUGGGAAUUCCACUUUCCUCUCCUGCACUCUAGUCUUCCAGUUUGGAAUGCAAUCCCUGAGUUAAGCCCAGGUAUUUCACAUCCCACUUAAAAGACCGCCUACGCAUCCUUUACGCCCAAUAAUUCCGGACAACGCUUGCCACCUACGUAUUACCGCGGCUGCUGGCACGUAGUUAGCCGUGGCUUCCUCCUCACUUACCGUCAUACUUCGUCAGUGAAGACAGAGCUUUACAACCCGAAGGCCUUCGUCACUCACGCGGCGUUGCUGCAUCAGGGUUUCCCCCAUUGUGCAAUAUUCCCCACUGCUGCCUCCCGUAGGAGUCUGGACCGUGUCUCAGUUCCAAUGUGGCCGAUCACCCUCUCAGGUCGGCUACCCAUCGUUGCCUUGGUGGGCCUUUACCUCACCAACUAGCUAAUGGGCCGCGGGCUCAUCCUCAAGCGAUAAAUCUUUUUUAUCUCGGUCAUGCGACUAAGAUACUUUAUGCGGUAUUAGCACAGAUUUCUCUGUGUUAUUCCCCACUUGAGGGCAGAUUACCCACGUGUUACUCACCCGUCCGCCGCUAGAUUUGAGAGCAAGCUCUCAA
rnacentral:rRNA from 1 species